CAAUUUUCACAUAAGGAUCUGACAGACCACCGACGUCCAUUUUCUUCAAGUUCUUCGCUUCUAAGAUGACCACCGUCAGUUUACCGGCUGUGGAUGGCGGAUAUUGGGUCAUUCAAGACCCAGGCUUUAAAUUUAUUUUAUAUUAGAUAUUGCGCUAACAAAUUUGGAGAUUUUUCACGGGAAAAGUUCACUUUAGUGGAAAAUAUCAGCAGGGGUCCUAUUCGCGCGUGAAGUGCCACGUGUGAAGCAGUACCGUUUGAAAUGAAUAGCACGGGUGGCCAGCAGGACGGCAGGCCCAAACUUCACGCGCGAACAUUGGUAUACAUUGGUGUAACUAAGGUAGGGGCCAAGGGGAGCCUAGCUCCUCUAAAAAUGGAGUGGCCCCUCCAUAAAAAUGUGGAUCUUCACCAUUCUAUAAUACAAUUUAAAAAUUGCAGAUUUCUUAGAUUUUAGAAUUUCAAAAAUUUCGAAGGGACGUCGCCCACCUAAGAAGGUCCAAGUUAAUGACUAUACAUACUGGCAUAGUAAUGCAACUGAUUGUGAGAGACACAAGAGAUCUACCGACGUGACGAUUAAUGCACACUUAUUUCUUAGUUAAAAAUAAUGUAGAAAAGUAAACAGAUAAAGGGUGAAACAUAAUUUAAUAUAUAUGUAUAUAUCAAUUCUUUAUCUCGAUAAUAGCCAACACACAUUUUAACAAAAUUACCUCGAAAAAAUUCAUAAGUUAAAAUAAGAAACUAAAAACCAGUCAUUUUGACUGAUUU